rnacentral:sRNA from 1 species
UAGAAACAAGCACCUUAAAUCGAACAGCUAGCGUCGUAGAAUCCGUGGACCUCCAACCUCUCUUGGCAGGGAAUGACUAAGCGAGGAACAAAACUGGUACAGAAUUGCAACCACUCGGAGAGAAGGGAUUGAGGAAGGCUUCAAAGGAAAACAGCAGAAGGUCAGCUGAAAGAUCCCAUGCUAAUCCAAGAGUCUUUGUGAACGGACUGCCAUCGUAAAAUUUUAAGCUCGAUAUAUCCACGCUGUGCUUGAUUGGAAGACGAACUGAAUAAGCACCUGAUUCAAGACGGACGUGGUGCAUGGCGAAGUGGGCAUCACAAUCGAUCUCCUCCUUAGUAGCCUGAACGAUAGGCGUAGUGCAGGCUUCCAGUUCCCACAAUUGGUGAAGAAGAUAAUUAAGGCGAUCGUCAAAAGUGUUUGCGGAGUCAGCAGGGAUUAUCUUACAUGAGGCGGCCAAACAAGGUUUUCCUGGGGUGCCACGAUGUUCUAGAUAGGACACGCCAGCAUAUUUUGUUGACUGUGUUUCACACGCCCAAUGUGCUGGCCUCACUGCAUCUGUAUCUGGUGCGUUUGGCAGUGGUUGUCGGGCUGCAUGUGUUCCCACUACCCAGAGCCCCCUGAUGUUUCAGCUGAGCUGAUGGGAUGUUAUUGUUAAUUUUUGAGAUAUUGGGCCAGAGUUGGAAGUUUAUAUGAGGCUAUUGGUAUAGCAGUACCCUCCUGGAGCGGUGUGGUGGUACCUAUGCGAGCCAAUUCGUAUGCUACGAAAUUGCCUAUGAUGUCCGCGACCAGGUCUCUGGUGGAUGAAGCUAAUGACCAUCUAUUGAACACAUGAUCUACAGUCUGAAACCGUUUUCGGGUUACUAGUGAUUGAACUGAUCCAUUUAAUAGUCGCUUAUAUUGCUGUCACCUCUAAAUGAUGAUUUUUAUUUGUGUGAAGUUGUAUAAAUUUAGAUAUUUAACGGGCCAUCCCGUGUG